rnacentral:rRNA from 1 species
GGCUUUCUGAGUAACAUGGGGGGUCGUGCCUUCCCGGUGAGCUUUCGGGCUUAAACGGACGCGGUAAAUCGUGCUAAGGUAGCUAAAUUAUGGCCUAUUAAUUGUAGGUCCUGUGAAUGGUUUGACGAGUCUUUAACUGUCUCUAGUUUGUUUUGGUGAAAUUGAAUUGGAUGUGCAAAUGCUUCCAUAGGUGAGAAAGACGAGAAGACCCCGUGAAGUUAGAAAUUUAAGUUGUAAGCGUUAUUCCUCUUAGUUUUAUACUGUUUCCUAGAAUAGCAGGUUGAUUUGAGGCUUCAUGUUAGUUCAAGCAGAGGGGUGCAGCGGCAGUUUUGGCUGGGGCAGCAAAGGAGCAAGACUAGACUCCUAUUAUUUAAAGUGCGGGUGCGCUACGACCCACAGAGGAAUAUAUUUGUGAUUAGCAGAAGAAGUUACUCCGGGGAUAACAGCGUUAUCCGCCCUGAUAGUUCUUAUAGAUGGGCGGGUUUGCGACCUCGAUGUUGGCUCUGGGUAUCCUAAGGCUUGCAGGCGGUCUUAAGGGUUGGUUCGUUCGCCCAUGAAAACCCG